CAAAUCACGCUGAAACACCGGUUCUCGUUCGAUCACCGAAGUUAAGCAUCGUAGAGCCAGGUCAGUACUUAGAUGGGGGACCGCUUGGGAACACCUGGUACUGUAA